rnacentral:lncRNA from 12 species
GAUGUUUGGAUCUUGUUUUCCUAGGACUUCAGCAAAUAAAUUCUUCUGGAGGCUACACAGACUGUGGAAGUAGGAACAAUGGAAAAGGAGUACGUUAUUCACAGCGAUGGCACACAAGUGGAAAAUAUGUAAAAUGCACCCCAGAUGCACCACUGCGCAAAGUGGGAAAAGCAGCUCAUUUUUUCUCUAACGUGUGAUUCUCUGAUCAACAAAGCUUGGCUGAGUGGCUCCGUGUGCGGUCACCCCUGCAGGAAAAGGGUAAGCAAGGUCGCCAACAAAAAGCAACAUCUCGACACAAAAAUACCCCGUCGCUUGCACAUGUGCAUAGACGUUCUAGGAGCUUCUACAUCACCUUGGAGGAACAGGAAGGUCGCGGGUCAGCGUCAGAAAUUAACCCAGAGGAGCGAGCCCGACCGACGGCCCGAUCCCGGGCAGCAGCGAGGCCGCCGAGAUGCCGAGGAGGGACUGAUGUCCUGGGACACGUGCCCUGGGUGACGGGCACACGCGACGCACGGUGCCCCCUGGGCCUCCGCUACCCCAGCUCUGACGGUGCUCAUCCCCUGGGUCCCACCGCCAAGGUCCCCGCCUUGCGGCAGAGCGUGCAACCCUGGCGUGAGCUAUACAAGGUGUGCAAGGGUGGUCUGCACCCUGGAAUCCUUACCCCACCCCCCUCCGGAAAAAAAAAAAUUGCCAAAUAAUCAGCGGUUCCUCUUCAUAUAGUAAUCAGAGGAAAUACUUUUAAAAGUAUUUAAAUUUCAAUAAAAAUUAU